GUUUGAUCCUGGCUCAAACGAACGCUGGCGGCGUGGAUAAGACAUGCAAGUCGAACGGGAUUACUUAGCUNGCUUUGUAAGUUUAGNGGCGGACGGGUGAGUAACACGUGAGCAACCNGCCCAGAAGAAAGGGAUAGCUCGGGGAAACUCGAAUUAAUACCAUAUGUGAUNCCCUACAGCAUUGUAGGGGANUGAAAGGUGCCUUCGGGUGCCGCUUCUGGAUGGGCUCGCGGCCUAUCAGCUUGAUGGUGAGGUAACGGCUCACCAUGGCAUUGACGGGUAGCUGGUCUGAGAGGACGACCAGUCACACUGGAACUGAGACACGGUCCAGACACCUACGGGUGGCAGCAGUCGAGAAUCAUUCGCAAUGGACGAAAGUCUGACGGUGCGACGCCGCGUGGAGGAUGACGGUCUUCGGAUUUGUAAACUCCUGUCAUCGAAGNNUAAGGCUUAUGUAUUAAUAGUAUGUAAGNUUGAUAGUAUUCGAAGNNGAAGGGACGGCUAACUUUCGUGCCAGCAGCCCGCGGUAAUAAGG
rnacentral:rRNA from 1 species